rnacentral:rRNA from 1 species
UACGGAGGGUGCAAGCGUUGUCCGGAAUCACUGGGCGUAAAGGGCGCGUAGGCGGCCUGGUAAGUAGGGGGUGAAAUCCUGCGGCUUAACCGCAGGGCUGCCUUCUAAACUAUCAGGCUUGAGCACGGUAGAGGCAGAUGGAAUUCCCGGUGUAGCGGUGGAAUGCGUAGAGAUCGGGAAGAGCAUCAGCGGCGAAGGCGGUCUGCUGGGCCGUUGCUGACGCUGAGGCGCGACAGCGUGGGGAGCAAACAGG